rnacentral:lncRNA from 1 species
UUAGUAUUUCAAAACCUGUUUCUGUGGUUGGAAACAUUUUAACUGAUAGAUGUGGAUUUAUGUUUAAAUAUCGAAUAUAUAAAUGUGAACCUGUGAUGUGAAUGGUGUAUGAAUAUAUAAUUGUUAGUUAUUUGUAUGUUCAUUUGGUUGUGGUUGCACCUGGGUUACUUUUUGUACUUGUGUGACGCCGUGCAAAUACAGGGGAGACUCUGUCCGUGUGAACAGUGGAUUCCCUGUGUUUGUGGCGGAUCUGGCAUACUCUGGGGUCAGGCUUUUCAAAAAAAAAAAAAAAAAUUCAGACGCUUUUCCGCUAUGUUUUUUAAACUAAAAGGGACCCCGGGGCGUGACAGUGGGUGCAGCUCCGGCUCGAAGGGGGUAGCUGGGCAUCCUCUGAUUGGCGGAGGGAAUC